GGCUCGGUAUGUGUACACCAUGAUGCAGAGGAUCAACAGUUGCCUACUGGUGGAUAUAAAGUAUGUGAAUCAAAUUUACCCUGACUGUAACCUUGAUUUCAGUGGAGUUAAUUCAAUUAUGACAUUUGAUCCAGCUCACCAUCUUUUUAGAGCCCAUAUAUCAAGAAAUAACAGAAUCUCUUUUUUAUUAUCUUUUCAUAUUUGAACUAAUUAGUUUAAUGUUUUUAAGGCACCAAACUCAAACAUAAAGCUGGUGAUUAUAUUACUUGUUCCACUCUUGUUAAGGGGCUUUAGAAUUUAUUUAGAAAUGAGAAGAGAUUUUCCAGAAGUUUAUAACUCUGCUAUUUUAAAUCAUAACAUGUUGAAACUUGUUUUAGCACUUUUCCUUUUAGCACUCUGUUCUAACAGCCACUGUUGCUAAGCAGUAUUUUGUAAGGCAGCUGUUUAAAAGGGAGGGGGUUCUUAGUUUCUGAUGUUUCUUGGUCACAGUCCAGGUUUAAAAAUCAGUUUAAUGAUUAGUAAAGAGAAUGAACAUUUGUACAAUCUACAAUAUCUGGUGACAGAUCAUUAAUUUGAAUAAGUAUUUCGACAAAAUCCUUGGCAAAAUAUCUAUAAAUUUCUACAGAGAUCCCAUAAAUUGCACUUUAGGAACCUAACAUUUUUUAUCUGACAGCACUGAACAGCCAAACACUCUUUCAAGCCUGAAAAUGGUCAUCUUUGUUGAGUUUUUCAUAUGUGUGCAUUUUGCAUGCCAGGCAGCACAGGGAUGGACUGUAUUUCAGUGCCCUCCUUGCUCACAGAAAUGAGGGAGGCACAGUCUGCAUAUUCAUGUUUGCACAGCUUUUAAGCCAAGAACAUAGAAUAUUUCCUUAAAAGAUCGGGCCUCAGUUUAUCAUGCCUGAUGGAGAGCCAGGGCCAGUGGCCAAUUCCUCCUUCCUCAUAGGAAUGUGAAAAUAACAACAAAAAUGUGCCUGAACAACUGUGAAGAGAGGAAGCAGGAAUCAACUGUGACCACCUGAAACCUGAGACACUGCUCCUGCCUUUGUUUCAAGGUAAUUUGCAUCAUUCAUCACAAAUCCUCACAAGAGGUGAGAGACCCUAUACCAGCUAUGAACUGACCACCCAGAGGAGUUUUCCAUCUAUUGACUCCUCUGUGAAAUCCUACAAAAUAUGAACUUCCAUUUCCACCCAGGAGAACUUUUACAAUCUUUUCUUCAAUGCCUGAUGGAAAGGUGUUUGUGCCCAAAAGCUUACAAUUAAAGAAAUUUGUUUUGCAAAAAUCUUGUUGGUUUAAUAAAAGAUAUCUCUACUGUGAAUCUGGAGUGACUCUACAAGGCAUUUCUGCAGUGAAAAUGUCAACUGACAGAAAAUAAGGGAGCAAAAAUAAACAGGGAGAUGUUGCCCACUUCUGCAGAGAAAGCAAUGUUUUGACCACAUUAUGAAACAACCCUAAUUUAAUUAAAUGAAUUAUUUGUUUGUUUGUUGUAGCUUUGCAAAACCUUUGCAGUAAGGGUCAUUUCCUAGAACAGCCUAAAAUAAAACAGAAAACAACCAAAAAAUAAAAAGAGAAGCAAGCACAUGUAGUAAGACUCAGUUCUACCUGCACAGAAGCAGCUGAGGAAUGAGUCUGAGCUCUGCCUAUGGCCCCAAACUUGUGUGACUUUACUGAGAUAUUUCAGGGACUUUCCACCUGAGUAAGUUUGCACAUGAAUGUAAAGGUUUACAUGUAUAUUACUAAAACAAUACAGAAAUGACCUGUAUCAGUAAUUGCCAGCCACAUUUCUUAUGUUAAAAAAGCAGUAUUGACUGAGAUUUAAAUUAACUGAGCUGUAUUUUCCCUCACUCUUCCAGUCAUGCUCAGAGCAUGGCAUGCCAGUAGAAAUUAUCUGAGCAGGGCUGGGCCCGCGGUAUGCUUCCUCCCAACCACAGGAGUCUACCUUUUCAUGUUGUUGUCUCUCUACAGGGUUUGUAACCUUAGACUUGCUGAAUUGUGUUCAUGCAUAAAAAACAGAUAGAAAACUGACUCCAAGCUGACCAGGAUCCAAAGGUGUUACGAAGAAACUCUGCCAAAAU